rnacentral:rRNA from 1 species
GUGUCAGCCGCCGCGGUAAUACGUAGGGUGCGAGCGUUAAUCGGAAUUACUGGGCGUAAAGCGCGCGCAGGUGGCUCGUUGCGCCCGGCGUGAAAGCCCCCGGCUUAACCGGGGAAGGUCGUCGGGGACGGGCGAGCUUGAGGGCGGCAGGGGCCGGUGGAACUCCCGGUGUGGUGGUGAAAUGCGUAGAGAUCGGGAAGAACACCCGUGGCGAAGGCGGCCGGCUGGGCCGACCCUGACACUGAGGCGCGAAGGCGUGGGGAGCGAACGGGAUUAGAUACCCCGGUAGUCC